rnacentral:rRNA from 1 species
AGAGUUUGAUCCUGGCUCAGAUUGAACGCUGGCGGCAGGCUUAACACAUGCAAGUCGAGCGGGGAAGAGUAGCUUGCUACUUAACUUAGCGGCGGACGGGUGAGUAAUGCUUAGGAAUCUGCCUAUUAGUGGGGGACAACAGUUGGAAACGACUGCUAAUACCGCAUACGCCCUACGGGGGAAAGCAGGGGAUCUUCGGACCUUGCGCUAAUAGAUGAGCCUAAGUCGGAUUAGCUAGUUGGUGGGGUAAAGGCCUACCAAGGCGACGAUCUGUAGCGGGUCUGAGAGGAUGAUCCGCCACACUGGGACUGAGACACGGCCCAGACUCCUACGGGAGGCAGCAGUGGGGAAUAUUGGACAAUGGGGGGAACCCUGAUCCAGCCAUGCCGCGUGUGUGAAGAAGGCCUUUUGGUUGUAAAGCACUUUAAGCGAGGAGGAGGCUACUGGUAUUAAUACUACUGGAUAGUGGACGUUACUCGCAGAAUAAGCACCGGCUAACUCUGUGCCAGCAGCCGCGGUAAUACAGAGGGUGCAAGCGUUAAUCGGAUUUACUGGGCGUAAAGCGUGCGUAGGUGGCCAAUUAAGUCAAAUGUGAAAUCCCCGAGCUUAACUUGGGAAUUGCAUUCGAUACUGGUUGGCUAGAGUAUGGGAGAGGAUGGUAGAAUUCCAGGUGUAGCGGUGAAAUGCGUAGAGAUCUGGAGGAAUACCGAUGGCGAAGGCAGCCAUCUGGCCUAAUACUGACACUGAGGUACGAAAGCAUGGGGAGCAAACAGGAUUAGAUACCCUGGUAGUCCAUGCCGUAAACGAUGUCUACUAGCCGUUGGGGUCUUUGAGACUUUAGUGGCGCAGCUAACGCGAUAAGUAGACCGCCUGGGGAGUACGGUCGCAAGACUAAAACUCAAAUGAAUUGACGGGGGCCCGCACAAGCGGUGGAGCAUGUGGUUUAAUUCGAUGCAACGCGAAGAACCUUACCUGGUCUUGACAUAGUAAGAACUUUCCAGAGAUGGAUUGGUGCCUUCGGGAGCUUACAUACAGGUGCUGCAUGGCUGUCGUCAGCUCGUGUCGUGAGAUGUUGGGUUAAGUCCCGCAACGAGCGCAACCCUUUUCCUUAUUUGCCAAAUCACUAGUGCGGCCGCCUGCAGGUCGACCAUAUGGGAGAGCUCCCAACGC